UGAAGAUGCCUGCAGUUCAGUGCUAACUCAGUUCGCCCCGUUAGUCCCGUCAACCUGCUACUCAUGAAAGACAAACAGCAACUACUAUAAACAAAUAACAAAUGACGAGUCUGCUAAACGAUAUCUACUUUUGGUUGAAGCUGCUCAGGGUGUGGACAUUGACAUGCAUCACAUGACAUGAGGGUCAUAGGUGAAGUUCAGUCUCCUUAUAGCCAUGAAGAACAUGGGUUUUCAGAAGUAUUCCUUCCUUGAAUACAACCCCGGAUUACUGUCUGAACUAAAGGUGUAUGAAAUACCAUGGAUCACAAGACAGACAGUACUCCAUGUGCGUGGUGUCACAUGAGAACAUCAGCUUUCAGAGUGUUACAAGACAAAGCCCGGAAGCAGCAGCUGUGCAGCCGGGACCUCUGUGGAGAUCACGGUGUUGCUGUGUGAAGUGUCAGUUAAAGCCAAUCAUGACUGCUGAAGUGGAGCUCGGUGCCACUGAUGGCAACCAGGACCUGGCCCAGUUCUUAGAGGAGAUACCCCAAAUGCAAAGACUGAUGUGUCACAUCCUGCAGGAUGUAAAGCCUGUCCUCAGACUGACGACCAGCAACCACAACACACCAGCGACCAUCAGCGACCAUCAAAGGAUUCAUGCUGCGCUCCUGCAGGUGGUGGCCAGCAGCAGUCGACUGGAGCAGAAGUUGGAUCACUGCCUUUGGACCCAGAAGGUUUUUAGUGUCCUGGUGAUGGGCCUGAUAGCUUUGUGGGGCUUCACUCUGUUCAUCCACUAUUCAACCGGCCAUUUUCACUGGACCACGGCUAAAAACUAAAACACUGGUGCUCACAAUGUUGAUUUAAAAUGGAUUUUUCUUUAAUGUUAAACAUUCAUUUUGAAGAUCAGUGUAGAAAUAUAGUGAAAUAAACACUCCAACAGCAAAUGUACAGGAAAAAACAACAGCAAAAGACAUGACACAUUGACACAGUUAACCUAGUCCUUCAUUCAUUCAUUCAUUCAUUCAUUCAUUCAUUCAUCUUCUAACCGCUUCAUCCUCUUGAGGGUCGCGGGGGGGCUGGAGCCUAUCCCAGCUGACAUCGGGCGAGAGGCAGGGUACACUUUGGACAGGCCGCCAGACUAUCGCAGGGCUGACACAUAGAGACAACCAACCAUUAGUUAACCUAGUCAUUCACUUUAAUUUUCCAGUCAGGCUAACAACCAGUUGCCAGAUUUAACAUUUCUCCAAAUAUAAAUGAUUUCCUUUUUCCUUCAGUCACAUAUCAAAUGCUGGGAGCAGAUUUCCAAAAUUGUAGCAGCAAUUUUCUCGCUGGCAGUGUGGAUGGAAAGAGCUUUAGACCUAUCCUUCACUCUGCCUGGCUCAGCCACCCCCAAACAGCGCAGUUAAAGGCACUUCAGAUGGAACUCAUGUGUCAGCUGAGGGAGUUUUAGUCAAAAUGUUUGGGUCUGUCCAGCCAUCUGCAUUACGUCCUUGCCUGUGAAUAUGCUUGUAUUCAAAGUUUGUUUCUCAUAUUUCAAAAUGUGGCCUGCAACAUAAAUUCUUGACUCCUGGAAGUUUACAUGUCUUGAAUUUGUCAUGUUACUUGGAUGUUUGAUGUGGGUACCUCUGGGUGUACAUGAAUGCAUUUACACACCAGAGGUAUGAAAGAUAUUAGCUUGGGGGGUAAGGGGUUGUAUUUUGUCCCUUGAUGAAUCCUGUGUAUGUAUCUUGAAAAGGCAGGUACUGCAAGCCUGCAGCUGGCGCACUGCUAUCUACGUGCCAUCACUAUUUGGCAAAUUGGAGAGGUGAGUGGUUUCCUGCUGAGAGUAAUGCGGUCAGAGCAGUGAUGUCACUGCAGCAAAUAUUGUGUGAUGUUUUAAGCAGCGAAACUAAAAACUGUGGUUAUAAACUUGACCGAGGAAAUACAUUUAUACUUUUAGCUUCUAAAAUUAUCAAUCAAUGCUCCUUGUGCAUAAAUUCGCACACCUCUCUGUUCAUGGGGAGCUGAACAGCAGCUCUCCAGCUCUGCUCUGAUCUCUGCUAUCUUCAUAUUUUAGAGAAUGUAAUAAAUAUUUUCCUCAUCGAAAAUGUAUUAUUUUACCCACCUGCAACCAAUCUGUGGAUCCCUGUGUGUGUAAUAAGCGGAAUCCAUGCACGUUGUGAGCCCACCUAUGUAGGUGCAUCUCACUCUGAAUAAUGUGCCAUUUAAGUAGCGGAACAAUACUCCGACAUCCUGUGGGCCCACUGACAGAUGCAGACAUAACAUACAAUUCGUUCAAAAAAUACAGAUACACUGGGCAGAGUAAGAAAAUGUCUCCAACUUAGGUUACAUGUAGAACAUGCCAUAUUCAUUUUUAGGCUUGGAUGAUGCUCUCUCUGAGACAAUCCCACAAUAACCACAACCAAACUCGGCCUAUGUCAACUAAUGAUAGUCACAUAAUUAGAAUGUUGUCUUAUCAACCUGUUAUAUCGGUAAUAAUGUUAAUUUUGGGCUGAGGCCAAUAUUUAAUUGAAGGCGUUUUUCUGUUGAUACCAAUGAUGUGCCAAAAUCACCAUGCAACAAAUUUACCUCUCAGGGAUGAUCAAGUCGAUCUAAUUUACUGUAUCUAUCAGACUAUUAACUUCCUUAAAAUAACUGUCUAGCCUCAUCACAUGUCAUAUUUGUAAUUUUAACUAGUGUCAAGUCUUCAUUCAAACCAAUUUUAAGUCAUUUGACAUCUUAAAACAAGUUUUUUUAAGUCGUUGAAUUGCCUGGACUUGACAUCUAGUUUUGAAGAAUCAAAGACCUCAGACUGGGUAAGUUUCCCCUCCCAUACAUGCUCUAUAAUGCUACUGGUUUUAUGUACACACAUAUAUUUAUAUUUUCCUUUUGAAUGAUGCUUUACCAGAAAUUCUUGCUUUUCAUAGAAACCAGUGUUCAAAACUCCCCAGACAGUCUAAACCAGAAAGUAGGAGGUUUUAGGUAGGAGUUUUGUUGCACUUCCUUUAUCUUAAGUCACCUCAGUUCCUUUGUAAAUGUUAGCCUCCUCUUGUCAGAAUAGUUGACUGUACACUGACAGCAGAACUGUUAUUCAGACCACUUUGCCAUUAUGACUGAAUGGAAACUGCAGUUUCUUCUGUUCCUGCCACUGUGUUUGUGUUUUGACUCCGAAGGUAAAGUACAAGAGAGUUUUAUUAAUCUGUCCUAAUUGUCUUGCUCAUUCAGGUGCAGUCUCUCACUCCCUAUGAUUGCAGAGACGGUUGUGAAAACCAUUGGGAGAAAACCAGAUGUCACCCUGCUAUGCAGCAAUGCAACACUGAGCACCAUCACGCUCAUAGUGUGUAGGAUCAGCACAGAGAUGAGCAGGGGAGAGGAGUGUCAUCUGCUGUAUCGAUUUGGAGGGGACUUUGUACAUGAAUGUGACUCCAGGUUCACACUUAUGGAAGAGAAUCAGACUGUGUUUCUUCACCUGACCAGUUUAACACCAGUGGAUAGUGGGAGUUACACCUGUGAGUGUUCACAUGCUCACGGAACAGAUACAAUUCACCUCAAUGUCACUGUGGAAGGAGAAGAAGAUGGCAGCACUUCUCCUAUAACAAUUCUCAUUUAUACCGCUGUGAUUUGUUUUGCUGCUGGAUUAAUCACCGUCACUGGAGUCGUCCUCGGGCUCACUCUCAGAAAGUGUUUUUGCAGAUACAAUUCAUGGUCAGGAACAUCCGUCAGUGAAACCCCCAUCUCUGUGGACAAAGAUGAGCCAGAUGAUCCCUACAUAAGCCUUGAGCAGUCAGGAAGCGGCCUCUACGAGACUAUGUCCCCAGUGCACCAUCAACUUGACAUGAAGAGGACUUCCGCCAGCAGCAAAAUAGUGACUGUGCAUUUGGAACAGGAAAUCUAUGAAAACAUGUAAACCCAAAGUCAAGAUAAGAUGUUUUUAUAAUCAAACUGUUGGAGAAGUCACAAAAAUACUAUACAGUGUUAAAAAUGCACAUAAUUCCUUCUGUACAGCACAUUAUUAGUCAUGUGCAGCUACUCCUCACAGAGAGAAGAGUAUGCAUAUUACCAUUAUAUACAUGUACAGUAACACGGUUAUGAAUUAUGAAUCACUGAAAAUUCAGAGCUACUUAUGUUGCUUAACAUCUCAAACAUUCAUAACAUAAUAGUUCAAUGGUGUUCAUUAUGUCUUUAGUUUCUGAUAAUGACUUUAGUUGUUCUUUUAUCUCAGACAUGUUAGGAUGUUACAUACCUUGACAUGUUUCAGCGGAAACUUCUGCCUUCCUCGGAAGUGUCACCAUCCUAACAUGUCUGAGAUAAAAGAACAACUAAGGUCAUUAUUCAUAACAUAAUUUUAAAACCCUUAAAUGUGUGUAGAUCCAACUAAGUACAUUUACUCAAAUAUUGUACUUUCAUUGAGUAUUUCCAUUUUCUGCUACUUCAUACUUCUCCACUACAUUUCAGAGGCAAAUAUUGUACUUUUUACUCCACUACAUUUAUUUGCAUGUUUAGAUUAAUACUAUAAAAUAUGAUGUGUUAUUAUAGAUUAAAAUAAGAUAACAUACGAUUAGCUCCGCAUUUACCAGCUGCAGCAUUAAAGCUCCUGUAUUUUAAUAUUUCUUUUGCUUUUUUAAAUUUUUUUAUUUUAUGCCUCCAUUCCAGCGAUAGCCUUGGGUAAAGGUGUUAUGUUUUCAGGUUGUCAGUCCGUCUCAAGAAUGCCUUGAGGAAAUUUCUUCAAAUUUGGCAAAAGCGUCUGCUUGGACUCAACAAUACACUCAUUAGAAUCUGGUGGUCAAAGGUCAAGGUCACUGUGAACUUGCAUCUAUCUCAUUCUCAUGAAUGCAAUAUCUCAAGAAGGCUCUGAGAGGGUUUACUCAACUUUGGCACAAACGUCCACUUAGACUCAAGAAUGAAUUCUUACUAAUUUGGCGGUCGAAGGUCAAGUUCACCAUGACCUCAUAAAAUAUGUUUUUGACCACAACUCAAUAAUUCAUAAACUAAUUAUAAUUUAAAAAAUCUCACUCAAAUGUCUAAAAUGAUAAAGUAAUAAAGGGAAGAUAUAUUAAAAGUAUUAUAUUUAUUUGUAAUGAUGCUGUUUUUCUAAAUAUUGUACCUUGUUGCCAAUUGUACCUAUAACAUGUAUUUCUUUUUACUGUAAUUUGUUGCUUUUAUUACCAGGUCACUUAGCCGUGUUCCUUCUAACAGGGGGACACUGCCGAUGGAAAUUAGCCUUUUGGCUAUAAUUGGGUGCAUUUACAUUUGAUUUUUAAAAUGUUUAUUUAUGUACAU